UGAAUAAUAACUUAAGAAAAUUUGAUGUUGUGUAAACUUUUGCUGAAUUUCCCAAAACUUCAGAAGAAAAGCAAAGUAGUGUUUUGGAGGAUAGUGAUUGUUUUGUCAGAUAAUUUUAAAAAAAUAAAUAAAUAAAAUCAUCAAACAUUAGCUCAUAAAUGUAUAUCUCCAAAAAAUAGUAUAUUAGCCACAUAUUGGUAUUAAUUGUACCACAAACUACAAAACACUUGAAAUGAGUUUGAAUUUUAGUAUCAAAUGUAUUGCCAAGGCCUUGAAGAUUGGGAAGUGCUAGGCUGAUCUUGGCAAUGGUCUUGGGUAAAGUAUCUAGGUUGGGAUGUUCAACAGUUAGAGCUGAACCCCUCUCCCCCGCCAAAUAAAUGUUUCUGCCAUGUGCUCUUUUUAUUUUUUUUUAAGAAUUUACUUAGCAUAUAUACAGUAGGAUUGAAAAACACAGGUAUGCUAAGAGGAAACAAAAGGAGGCAAAGUCCCUCAGGCUGAAGAAGCUCUCAUUCUCUACCAAUAUUUGGAGAACAUGCAUACCUACAAGUACACACGUGCACUCUUCAGGUAUCCCAAAAUUCAUCACUAGCUUUCUACAUCUUUGUUCACAAAAAAAUAAGAUCCAAUAAGUAGGACUAUUCUUGAUAUUAAAUGAGAAAGUGCUUAAAAGCUGUUCUUA